CAAAUGUUUCAUCAAUAUCAUAAGCUCUGGACUGUUUCUUCAACGUAACAGGAAAAAGUCAUCAUGGAGCGCAUUGUUUCACUUGGUUGUCUUCUGCUUAUUGCUGGUUUGAUCAAUGAGGCUCAAUGUAGUCACUUCCUGAGAUCCCCCUUAUUGGAAGAAGAAUCCAUCAACCGAGAUGGACUUCCUUCUUAUGAGUCCCUGAUGAAGCCACUGGUUGAAAAUUGCAAAGAAAUGCGUAAAACUGGGAAAGUUAACGUGGAAUGUAGGUUGUUUUCAAGUAGAAACUUCAAAGGAUACUCUAUUCUACCUUUUGAAACGGUAAUCGGCAAGCUUUAUGACAUCUGUUUGAUAGAGCAAUUCAUUUCUCCAACCAAAUCCCAACCAAUGUGGUGCAGUGAACUUCAAUCGCCCAGUGGAGAGUAUGUUGUUCCAUCAUUUGAGGAUAUGCUCAAAGAAAUCCCGAGCAAUUGUAAAGAGGUUGAUACGAGUGGUUCAACAACCUACGAGAACCUUUGGUGCACAGUUUUCGGAUUUGAAUGAUUAUCUCGUGACGUUCUCUCAGCUUCUGACAACGACCUAUUGAUGAAUUGGGAUCAAAUCAAGUCAAUCAAAGCCAUCAAAAAUAUAUCAUGAAUAUGCUAAUGUUCCCUCUCCAUUGUGCAUUAUGCACUGUUAUUGUUUUUCUUUUAUGUAAGAGGUUCAGAGUCUACUGUAAAUAUUUUUGCUUCCAAGUCGAAGCUGUGUGGCUGAUAUUUUCUUUUUCCUUCUUCUUUUUCUCUUUGGAGUGUGGUAAAUGAUAUCUCGAAUAAAGCUUUGUUCUGACUAGA